rnacentral:lncRNA from 1 species
AAUUAACAAUAUCAACUCUUGAAAUAAGAAAGUAAAAGAAAAAACAAAGUUAUAUAGAAUAUGGCUUCAGCAAAAGCCCGUAUCCUUGUCUCCCUCAACCUCGUCUACUUGGUUCUAUCCGCCACCGGAGGCAGCGGGUCGGCGAUGCCCCCCCGGGCGAUGCCAAGGUGCCCGAGAGACGCCCUAAAGCUAGGUGUAUGCGCAAAAGUGGUGGGGAAUUUGGUGGGAGUGUGGGCUGGGAAACCUCCGAUCAGGCAGUGCUGCAGCUUGGUCGAGGGGCUGGUGGAGCUGGAGGCGGCGGUGUGCCUCUGCACCGCCAUUAGGGCUAACGUGCUCGGCAUCAAUCUCAACAUACCGCUGUCUCUCACCCUGCUGCUCAAUGCGUGUGGAACCACUCCUCCAAUUGAUUUCACUUGUUAAUUCCUCUUUAUUUCAACACUCAAUAAAACUUGCGUCGUCGUCUACUACUGGGUCUAAAUUAUAUAUGGUGGAAUAUCAAGUUUCAUCGUCAUGCUAAAAUACAACUCCCCUUUGAUUUUAUUUUGCUAAUUAUGGUCAAAUAUAUUAUAUAUGUUAAAUCGUUAUAAUUUGUGGUUCUGUAUUUCUGGAGAGGGUGCGUGGCACUUGUGAAAA